rnacentral:rRNA from 1 species
UACGAAGGGGGCUAGCGUUGUUCGGAAUUACUGGGCGUAAAGCGCACGUAGGCGGAAUGUUAAGUCAGGGGUGAAAUCCCGGGGCUCAACCCCGGAACUGCCUUUGAUACUGGCAUUCUCGAGUCCGGAAGAGGUGAGUGGAAUUCCUGGUGUAGCGGUGAAAUGCGCAGAUAUCAGGAGGAACACCAAUGGCGAAGGCAGCUCGCUGGGACGGUACUGACGCUGAGGCGCGAAAGCGUGGGGAGCAAACAGG